GUCGAACGAUGAACCACUUCGUGUGGGGAUUAGUGGCGAACGGGUGAGUAACACGUGGGCAAUCUGCCCUGCACUCUGGGACAAGCCCUGGAAACGGGGUCUAAUACCGGAUAACACGUUCCCUCUCCUGAGGGGAUGUUAAAAGCUCCGGCGGUGCAGGAUGAGCCCGCGGCCUAUCAGCUUGUUGGUGAGGUAAUGGCUCACCAAGGCGACGACGGGUAGCCGGCCUGAGAGGGCGACCGGCCACACUGGGACUGAGACACGGCCCAGACUCCUACGGGAGGCAGCAGUGGGGAAUAUUGCACAAUGGGCGAAAGCCUGAUGCAGCGACGCCGCGUGAGGGAUGACGGCCUUCGGGUUGUAAACCUCUUUCAGCAGGGAAGAAGCGAAAGUGACGGUACCUGCAGAAGAAGCGCCGGCUAACUACGUGCCAGCAGCCGCGGUAAUACGUAGGGCGCAAGCGUUGUCCGGAAUUAUUGGGCGUAAAGAGCUCGUAGGCGGCUUGUCACGUCGGGUGUGAAAGCCCGGGGCUUAACCCCGGGUCUGCAUUCGAUACGGGCAGGCUAGAGUGUGGUAGGGGAGAUCGGAAUUCCUGGUGUAGCGGUGAAAUGCGCAAAUAUCAGGAGGAACACCGGU
rnacentral:rRNA from 1 species